GAUGUUGGCAAGGCCACGAUGUGACCUAAACUAAAAUAUCUUAUCUUUCUUCCAGCUAAUCAGUGUUAUGAAGGACUAUUACUGCAUUUGGAAAUGGUGAAAGGAAAGAGGUUCUUCAAUCAGUAUGUCUUUUUUUCACAUCAACGUGGCACUUAACAAACAUAUUAGAGAACUGCUUCAUAGUUCAGUGUCAGCAGGGAUCAGUUGUGGAGAGGCCUGCAGCAUAUUUGGAAAUCAGCCAUCAAGAGUUGGCGUCAAUAUUGGCACGAAGAAGUUGCACAGAUAGCAAAGGAAUUUCAGGCUCAGUUACAACGGCCAUUGAUAAAGUACACUGGGGCUGGAACAGUGAACGUACUCACCAGUCUGCAGGUGCCUUCAAGCAGAAGAAAACCAAAAAGCAAGUACUUACGUUGGAAUUGGACAGGAGGAAAACAAACUCAGCUGAUCCUUUUCCGGGGUGGAAGGAAGAAAGGAGGAAAAACUACUGCAGUUCCUAAGGGAGCAGAAGCAACUGUUUAUGGAUGGAACUGAACUGAAGGCCAAAAGAGUGCAUAAACGAUGGUGAAGCUGAAGACAUGUGAGUGCUGGAUUGAUCUGGGGGUUGAAGGAUGAGUAAUAACUUCCUAAGCCGAGGAGAAUGAGUAGACAGAUGACUGGGU
rnacentral:lncRNA from 1 species